UUUGACUGGUAUAAAAUUUGCAUGAAUUUGUGAGAAGAAUAAUUUUAUCGAUGAAGUUAAAAUGAUUACACCUCUUACUAAUAGUACAUUUGAAAAUUCUCAGAGUUUCACAUCUAAAGAAUAUGAGUAUCGUCGAGGGUUUCCAGCUUAUACGCUCCGGUUCAAAUGGCUUUCAUGACCCGAUAUAGUCCUUCUCAGUUAGAGCCCAAUUUGCCCUAUUCUAUGGGUUUGAACACUUC
rnacentral:lncRNA from 1 species